rnacentral:rRNA from 1 species
AACGAACGCUGGCGGCGCGCUUAACACAUGCAAGUCGAACGAGAAGCCGUAGCAAUACGGUUGUAAAGUGGCAGACGGGUGAGUAAUGCAUGGGUAAUCUACCCUCAGGUGGGGAAUAACUCUUCGAAAGGGGAGCUAAUGCCGACAAUAUCCACCAGUCUCAUAAGAGGUUGUUGGAAAGCCGAACCGAGGGUUCGGCGCCUGAGGAUGAGCUCAUGUCCUAUCAGCUUGUUGGCGGGGUAAUGGCCCACCAAGGCUGCGACGGGUAGCUGGUCUGAGAGGACGACCAGCCACACUGGCACUGCGACACGGGCCAGACUCCUACGGGAGGCAGCAGUGAGGAAUCUUGCGCAAUGGGCGAAAGCCUGACGCAGCGACGCCGCGUGGGGGAUGAAGGCCUUCGGGUUGUAAACCCCUUUCAGGAGGGAAGAUGGGACGGGCAACCGUUCGGACGGUACCUUCAGAAGCAGCCACGGCUAACUCUGUGCCAGCAGCCGCGGUAAGACAGAGGUGGCAAGCGUUGUUCGGAUUUACUGGGCGUAAAGGGUGCGUAGGUGGUUAGGUAAGACCUGCGGGAAAGACCUGGGCUUAACCCAGGAAGGUCGUAGGUGACUGCCUGGCUAGAGGGCGGGAGAGGAGAGCGGAAUUCCCGGUGUAGCGGUGAAAUGCGUAGAGAUCGGGAGGAAGGCCGGUGGCGAAGGCGGCUCUCUGGAACGUUCCUGACACUGAGGCACGAAAGCGUGGGGAGCAAACAGGAUUAGAUACCCUGGUAG